GACUUUGGCCAUGCUACCCUAAAUGUGCCCGAUCUUGGAAGCUAAGCAGGGUCGGGCCUGGUUAGUACUUGGAUGGGAGACCACCUCGGAAUACCAGGUGCUGUACGCA
rnacentral:rRNA from 1 species